rnacentral:rRNA from 1 species
UCGGGAAUUUUGGGCAAUGGGCGCAAGCCUGAUCCAGCCAUGCCGCGUGCGGGAAGAAGGCCUUCGGGUUGUAAACCGCUUUUGUCAGGGAAGAAACGCUCUGGGCUAAUACCCCGGGGUAAUGACGGUACCUGAAGAAGAAGCACCGGCUAACUACGUGCCAGCAGCCGCGGUAAUACGUAGGGUGCAGGCGUUAAUCGGAAUUACUGGGCGUAAAGCGUGCGCAGGCGGCUCCUUAAGUCAGAUGUGAAAUCCCCGGGCUUAACCUGGGAACUGCGUUUGAAACUGAGGGGCUAGAGUGUGGAAGAGGGGGGUGGAAUUCCAGGUGUAGCAGUGAAAUGCGUAGAGAUCUGGAGGAACACCGAUGGCGAAGGCAGCCCCCUGGGCUAACACUGACGCUCAUGCACGAAAGCGUGGGGAGCAAACAGGAUUAGAUACCCACGUAGUCCCUGAGCGGGCUGGCAAGGCGCAU